CCAGGAGGUCACCCCUGUGCGACACAGGAUAAGGAAGAAGGAGAAAGGAGAAGGAGACUGAUUUCACACGAGGAUCACGAAAUUGGAGGGUUGAAGUCUCGAUUAUGUCUUCUUUGCUUGAUUCUAAGGCUCCAGUGGCAUAAUGUUUGGAUGGCAACGGGUCCAACGGGUGAUAAAGCAACAACAUUCCUACGGGCAAAGGUGAGUGACUCGAGUAUGUUUGGAGUCGCAUUGAUUUAAAUAGUCUUAUUGUUGGAUUAAAUUUCUUAUAGUUAAGGUGGUUUAAUGAAACUUAUCGAAUAUGGUUUAACUUAACAAUAACGUAUUGUUUUAGCGAUGUUUUGGGGGGUUUUAACCCAUCAAGAAAGAGUACACAAUGUUAAUGGGUCGAGAUACCCAAAUGCUGAAAAUUCAGCUUAUUUUCAGAUUUUUGCUAGUCUUUAAAAAUUCAUAGAAAAUUAACCGAAUGUCCGUUCGGGGCGUAUUUUAUAUCCACGAAAAGGUCUCGAAGUCACCGUUAAUAAGAAUUUUAGUUUGAAGUGAAAUACUCAAUAUAAAUAUGGGAAAAUGCUGAAUUACUACAGCUGCAUAAAGCUGAGUGAAAAACAUAAAUUUUAUAGUACUUGCAUAAUCUUAGGGAAUUUAUAAGGAACCAAUGGGAUGUGAUUAUGUUGUUGUUUUAAACCUAUUUGUAGCUAUAUAUUACACGAGUUGAGGUGAGUGAUUCCUUCAAUAUGGAUGUGUAUGCUAAAUUAAAAAGUCACGGGUUUUGUAACCUGCAUGUGCAAAAACAUGUGUUCAUUUAGUAGUGCUUAUGAAUGAAUGACAUUUGUGUCGUAAAAACUAUAUAACGUAUUGGAGUAUUUUAUGAAUACAUGUAUGAAUUAUUAAGAGUAUGUUAGAUAACAAUGAUUGUUGAUAAUCGUAUAUAUUGUCUAAUGAAUUACAACAUAGAUAUGUGGCAGUUUACCAUUUUAUUUAUAUUGACCGAAUCAAUUCGAUAAUGGUUUACUUUGAAGUUUUUCUUGAUUCUAUAUUAGCAGGGAUAUACAUGAUAUAUAAAAAAGGGCAUCCAUAUUAGAAUGGAGAAAGUCACAAAAUGCGUGACACGAGAUAAUGAAGUGGCGAUAUUGUUUUGUUGGGCAUUAUGAGCAUUGAAUACUCCGUUAUGUUUGGUACAAAAUCAUAUUAUGAAUCCUCACUUAAUGAAAGCUAAUAUUUUGGUGUUUUCAAUGUAGGUGAUAAGUCAUGAAAAUCAACGGGGUGUCUUGAACCAGAAUCAUGAAAGAAGAAAACAUCUCACAAGUCAUUCACCAAUAAUUCGAUUCGGGUGGUAGGAAGGCGAAAGUGAUCAAGUUUUUGAAGCGGGUCAACGAUGUGAAGAUUUAGUGAUGCCUUGUUCACUAAGUAAUAUGGGUUUCCUUAUUGGGUCAACUUGACUUAGUUAUUUGCAUUUUAGAGUUUAACUUCAAUGUUUAUUUUAGCCAAGUGCUAGUAUAUCAAUGUAGUAGUGGGUUAUAUUUGUUUUAUAAAAACCUUGGUUAACAAGCAGGUAUUGUUUUCGUAAGGAUUUGUUGUGA